UGUAGCAAAACCUACCUAUACAACACUAUUCAAAAUGAACCACAUAAUCGAUAACAACAAACAAUCGGAACUUCCAACAAAUAAACAACACUAACAGCUGUAACAACAAGCAAAUGUAAACAACAAAGAUCGGGUACCGGUUCCGGACCCCCGUACCCGCCCUACCUGAGACGAUCUCAUGAUCUUGUCUCCCACAUUUUGGCCACUAGAUGGCCUGCAUCAGCCCGUGUCGGCUGUUAUGCCCCCUCUCCCCAUCAAUUGAGACUUAGCCGAACAUUUCUCUCUUCAGUAGGGUAUCCCCAUUCUGCAAUUUAUUCUAUGCAAGCUGACAUUGUCUUUAAUUCGUCAACAGAAUAUAUUUUUAUUUAACAACAUUAAAUGGAACAGGCGACGAAACACUGCAAAGUUAUUGCCAGUCAACAGAAGAAAAAAAUAACAAGGGGAAAGAUAUAACACCAGACGCAAUAAUCUUUGGGGCCUUUCCUUCACUGUUUGCACUUUUGGAAAUUUUCUUACAAGUAACUAGGCGUCUACGUCUGACUCUGCCUGCUGCGAAAUCUGGCCGGGGUGACUUUGUUGUCCUCUCUGGUCAGAGAGCUGGUCCCUUCGUUGCCGGAGCCGUUUAUUUUGUUAAUUGUCUUAUGGUUUUUAUUUGUUCGCCUCGUGUCGCACGUAAGUUAUAAGUUUUUUCUAAUUUUUAUAUAUUGUGACACAAUGUUUAAAUUCGGAUUUUAAUAUUAAACGGCAAAAAAAAAUGCAUUGUUUAAUCUUAAUUUGCUGAAAACUUUUCU